UUUUGGUUGGGGAUGAGCUCGCGGCCUAUCAGCUUGUUGGUGAGGUAAUGGCUCACCAAGGCGUCCACGGGUAGCCGGCCUGAGAGGGUGACCGGCCACACUGGGACUGAGACACGGCCCAGACUCCUACGGGAGGCAGCAGUGGGGAAUAUUGCACAAUGGGCGGAAGCCUGAUGCAGCAACGCCGCGUGAGGGAUGACGGCCUUCGGGUUGUAAACCUCUUUUAGCAGGGAAGAAGCGAGAGUGACGGUACCUGCAGAAAAAGCGCCGGCUAACUACGUGCCAGCAGCCGCGGUAAUACGUAGGGCGCAAGCGUUAUCCGGAAUUAUUGGGCGUAAAGAGCUCGUAGGCGGUUUGUCGCGUCUGCUGUGAAAUCCCGAGGCUCAACCUCGGGCCUGCAGUGGGUACGGGCAGACUAGAGUGCGGUAGGGGAGAUUGGAAUUCCUGGUGUAGCGGUGGAAUGCGCAGAUAUCAGGAGGAACACCGAUGGCGAAGGCAGAUCUCUGGGCCGUAACUGACGCUGAGGAGCGAAAGGGUGGGGAGCAAACAGGCUUAGAUACCCUGGUAGUCCACCCCGUAAACGUUGGGAACUAGUUGUGGGGUCCAUUCCACGGAUUCCGUGACGCAGCUAACGCAUUAAGUUCCCCGCCUGGGGAGUACGGCCGCAAGGCUAAAACUCAAAGGAAUUGACGGGGACCCGCACAAGCGGCGGAGCAUGCGGAUUAAUUCGAUGCAACGCGAAGAACCUUACCAAGGCUUGACAUAUACGAGAACGGGCCAGAAAUGGUCAACUCUUUGGACACUCGUAAACAGGUGGUGCAUGGUUGUCGUCAGCUCGUGUCGUGAGAUGUUGGGUUAAGUCCCGCAACGAGCGCAACCCUCGUUCUAUGUUGCCAGCACGUAAUGGUGGGAACUCAUGGGAUACUGCCGGGGUCAACUCGGAGGAAGGUGGGGAUGACGUCAAAUCAUCAUGCCCCUUAUGUCUUGGGCUUCACGCAUGCUACAAUGGCCGGUACAAUGGGCAGCGAUACCGUGAGGUGGAGCGAAUCCCAAAAAGCCGGUCCCAGUUCGGAUUGAGGUCUGCAACUCGACCUCAUGAAGUCGGAGUCGCUAGUAAUCGCAGAUCAGCAACGCUGCGGUGAAUACGUUCCCGGGUCUUGUACACACCGCCCGUCAAGUCAUGAAAGUCGGUAACACCUGAAGCCGGUGGCCUAACCCUUGUGGAGGGAGCUGUCGAAGGUGGGAUCGGUAAUUAGGACUAAGUCGUAACAAGGUAGCCGUACCGGAAGGUGCG
rnacentral:rRNA from 1 species